AUGAACGCUGGCGGCGUGCCUAAUACAUGCAAGUCGAGCGAACGGACGAGAAGCUUGCUUUUCUGAUGUUAGCGGCGGACGGGUGAGUAACACGUGGAUAACCUACCUAUAAGACUGGGAUAACUUCGGGAAACCGGAGCUAAUACCGGAUAAUAUUUUGAACCGCAUGGUUCAAAAGUGAAAGACGGUCUUGCUGUCACUUAUAGAUGGAUCCGCGCUGCAUUAGCUAGUUGGUAAGGUAACGGCUUACCAAGGCAACGAUGCAUAGCCGACCUGAGAGGGUGAUCGGCCACACUGGAACUGAGACACGGUCCAGACUCCUACGGGAGGCAGCAGUAGGGAAUCUUCCGCAAUGGGCGAAAGCCUGACGGAGCAACGCCGCGUGAGUGAUGAAGGUCUUCGGAUCGUAAAACUCUGUUAUUAGGGAAGAACAUAUGUGUAAGUAACUGUGCACAUCUUGAAGGUACCUAAUCAGAAAGCCACGGCUAACUACGUG
rnacentral:rRNA from 1 species